UGUACCGGUUCUUUGAAGAUUUACUAACCCCGACCCGAACCCGAUAGAACCCGAACCGAUCCCGAACCGAACUUUCAUAUAAUCCGAAUGGGGCUGAUUUUGAUAAACCCGAAAAACCGAAACCCGAUUGGAUAAAACCGAAACCCGUUUGGGACCCCGAAUGCCCAGGCCUAGUGAAGCAUAUGUCGUGAUCAAUACCUUUGUCAUGAAACACGUCGUUCUAUAUUAGAUGUUAGCGUUUGUGUUUCUUCGCGUCUCCAGGGGUGUGAUGGCGAUUUAGUCUUAAGUACUGCUUAAGAUCGAUCAACUCAAAUUUAUUGCGUCAGGAAGCUCAAUCAUCGUCCUUACAUCUAUCAACGCAGUUAAUAAAUAAUUUCAAUCCAGAUCUUUAUUCUCAUCUGUUCUCGAUCGUUUUCAAUUGUUAUGGUUGCUCCAACUGAUAAUCGUAUGCCUCUCCGUAAUUGCCAUCAUAUCGCUGAUAAUCUUCUCCGUCAGGUAUACUCUGAAUUCCUAGAUCCGAUUUCACAUUCAUCUUCUUUGAAAGAUUGUACAGAGAAACGUGAAUGAUUCUUCUGGCCUUUUCAGAGUUAUGAGAAGAUUAUCUAAUAACAUAAUAAGUUUUUCGUUUUCUUUUUCCUGUUAUAACAUGUUUGAAUAUUGCUCAGGCCAGUAUCUAUAGUGAAGAGAAGAAUGUUGUAGACUUAAAUCACGCUUCCUAGAUAUGUUCUUCUGAAAUUUUGUAUUUGAAACUUCCAUGGUUACAAAUUUUGUUCCUUUUUUUGCUCUUAAUAGAAUUUGUAAUAAGUAAUAACUUAAUAAAGCCGACGAUGAAUUCUUUAUUGUUGGAAGUGGUUUCUGUUGGUAUCGUAUAUAAGAUUCUGUUGAAUGUCUUCCUGUCCACCGUGAUUCAACCUCCAGACCUGAUAUUAACAAGAUCAUGCAACUGGUAUGGCCGACAACAUCUCAAGACACGUUACUGUUACCAGCAAACAUUAAACUAACCCAAUGUAUUUAUAGACCUGUAAGUCUGUAACAAGAAAACUGUUGGCCCUGGAGCACCUUUUACGAAAGAGUCUCUUGCUGAAGCUAGAAGCCUUGAACAAGAAAGAUAGGGAAAGAAGAAGAAAGCCUGAUUUGAAAAACAACCUUGAAUCUUAUGUUUAUGCUACCAAAGAAAAGGUUGUUCCAGCUGAGCUUGAAGCAUUGUUGCUUGCUCAUCCAGAGAUUGCUGAUGCAGCAGUAAUACCAAAUCUCUGUCAAAACUGAAUAUUGAUUUUGCUCAGCCUGAGCAGCAGGUCUAUUCAAAGUCGAUGCGUCCGAGUUUCGUUACGGUCCGAGCCAUGUCAGAGUCUCAGACAGCUCUAAAGAAUCAGCCACAGUCCUCGGCCUCCUCUGGAAAGAAGCAAGUUUUGAUAUCUUUUUCUGACAAGUAGGAUUUAGCUACUCUUGGCAACGGUCUUCGAGAGGGGUAUCUCUUAUUUCAUAAUUUUUAGUUAUGUUUCUGUUCUAAUAAGUGUUUAUGAAUUGAAAAAUGAUUCUUUUUUUUCAUUGUUUCUACUGGAGGAACUGCCUCUACCUUAGAGAAUGCUGGAGUCUCUGUCACUUCCAAAGUGGAGACGCUUACUCAUUUCCCUGAAAU